rnacentral:rRNA from 1 species
UACGUAGGGGGCGAGCGUUGUCCGGAUUUAUUGGGCGUAAAGAGCGUGUAGGCGGCCAGGUAGGUCCGUUGUGAAAACUCGAGGCUCAACCUCGAGACGUCGAUGGAAACCAUCUGGCUAGAGUCCGGAAGAGGAGAGUGGAAUUCCUGGUGUAGCGGUGAAAUGCGUAGAUAUCUGGAGGAACACCGGUGGCGAAGGCGGCAUCCUGGACCGACAUUGACGCUGAGGAGCGAAAGCCAGGGGAGCAAACGGG